CCUACGGGGGGCAGCAGUGAGGAAUAUUGGUCAAUGGCCGGAAGGCUGAACCAGCCAAGCCGCGUGAGGGAGGAAGGCGCAGAGCGUCGCAGACCUCUUUUGCCGGGGGACAAAAGGCCGGACGGGUCCGGUUCUGAGGGUACCCGGAGAAGAAGCAUCGGCUAACUCCGUGCCCGCAGCCGCGGUAAUACGGAGGAUGCGAGCGUUAUCCGGAUUUAUUGGGUUUAAAGGGUGCGCAGGCGGGCCUUUACGCCGGCGGUGAAAUCGCGGGGCUCAACCCCGCCGGGCCGUCGGAACUGGGGGCCUUGAGUGCGGGGGAGGCAGGCGGAAUGCGCGGUGUAGCGGUGAAAUGCAUAGAUAUCGCGCAGAACCCCGAUUGCGAAGGCAGCGUGCCGUGGCGCCACUGACGCUGAGGCACGAAAGCGCGGGGAUCGAACAGGAUUAGAUACCCGGGUAGUC
rnacentral:rRNA from 1 species